UGAAAUCUCGAAGCUCAACUUCGAAACUGCGUCUGAAACUGCUAGUCUAGAGUGUCGGAGGGGGAAGGGGAAUUUCACGUGUAGGGGUAAAAUCCGUAGAGAUGUGAAGGAACACCGGGGGCGAAGGCGCCUUCCUGGACGACUACUGACGCUGAGGCGCGAAAGUGUGGGGAGCAAAUAGGAUUAGAUAUUUUGGUAGUCCACGCCGUAAACGAUGAACACUAGUUAUUGGGGGUAUUGACUCCCUCAGUGACGCAGCUAACGCAUUAAG
rnacentral:rRNA from 1 species